CAGGUUAUGGCAAUACCAUCCUGAACACGCCGGAUCUCCUCUGAUCUCAGAAGCUAAGCAGGGUGGAGCCUGUCUGCUGACCUUAUUAAGAUUUCACCAACUUUCCAUGCAUUUAUAUGUGUAUGCAUGCUUACGAAGUAUUAGAUGAAGAAUUUGAAAAGUCCCGUCUGUCCUUGAAAUGUAAUCUCUUAUGAAGCAGCCUGGAAAAAUGCUGAAGAGCAAAAGAGUACGUUUUAUUCUGAGUUCUUUUGAGGCUGAAGCUAACAUUUGAACUAUCUCCAAGAUUGUGAUCUCUGCAGAGAUAUUUAUUGCACCUUGAUGAAGAUGAAUGGUGUGACAAUAAAUAAGACGCUUCUCUCUCCUGCCUGGGUCUGCCCUUGAGACACAAUAACGUGUGGCACACAGCACCGUGGGAGCAUCAGGGAUCCACAUCAUGCCCGGAGCUGACAGAGUGCCCUGAGUAAUGGCGGCAACCUUCCAAAACACACUAGUGGGGCCUCCAUCUAUAGCCGUACCAGACAACAAUGACCCCUAACUCCACAAUACAUCUUGUUCAUCAUUCCUUAUAUUACCAAACAGAAUGGGAUUGGAAAUGCCGGUCAAAAGUAAUGAGGCACCUGGGAAACAGAAAGAAAGCUUGUCAUUCACAGCCCUGUCCACUGAAGUGGUUUCAGUACACAGGGUGGGUACCACCUGACUUCUGUCUUCAUUGUCAUCGCGUGUGUGUGUGAGCAUGUGUGUAUUCAUUUGUGAUUGGCUUAUUAUCCCCAAUUUGGCAUGAUCUCUUUAUCCACUCCAAUAGGAAUGUCCAUAUGAGAGUUAAUCAUCAUGGUUGUAUAACUGUCCUUUCUCAAUCUUUUGUCUCACAAAUGAAGAAGAUCGCUUACUUUUAGAUGAUUGCAGCAAAUAUAUUAUCUUCUAUCUCUUCUAUUGGAAUUGACAAGAUUAGUGUAUUGGAGGCAUCUGUUACAAUAUUAAAAUGAUUAGUUUAUGUGUAUACGACCACCAGAAUAUUGUAAGGUCUCUAAGAUUAGGACUCAUGUCUAGGCCUAUAUUGGUAUCCCGUUCCUUAGCUUUGUACCUGGCACAUACUAGGUACUACGUAUAUAUACAUAUAUAUGUAUAUAUGUAUACAUGUAUGUACACGUAUAUAUUUCCCUCCCCCCCCGAAUUGUUUCCUGAUAGGUGAGGCACUUCUGUCUUCUAGAGUGAAGGAGGAGCAUACAGAAUUCUGUAUCAUGGUGGUAUUCACUCCAAAGUAGUUGGGAAUCAAGUUUCAGAUGAGAAGCAAGACACCAGUUCAUAGAACUGGUAGAUUAUAAAUAUAGUAUGAAAACUGUGGAGAGCCAAGGCUAAGAAGAAUGGAGAAGGUCUAAACUGUUGUUGCAAGCAUAGUUAGAGGUAUAGAACCAUUUGGGAAAAGUGUAAAGUGAAAGGGAAGUUUCAAGACUCUAGAGUCAGAGGAUCAGUGAGCUGGAAUUUGAGUCAAUAGGCAAGAUGAAGACAUUACAGU